UACGUAGGGUGCAAGCGUUGUCCGGAAUUAUUGGGCGUAAAGAGCUCGUAGGCGGUCUGUCGCGUCGGCUGUGAAAACCCGAGGCUCAACCUCGGGCCUGCAGUCGAUACGGGCAGACUAGAGGUAUGCAGGGGAGAACGGAAUUCCUGGUGUAGCGGUGAAAUGCGCAGAUAUCAGGAGGAACACCGGUGGCGAAGGCGGUUCUCUGGGCAUGAUCUGACGCUGAGGAGCGAAAGUGUGGGGAGCGAACAGG
rnacentral:rRNA from 1 species